CGCCCACGUGACCCGCCAGCCCAAGAUGGCGCCGGGCCGCAUUACCGAUGUAGGCGCGCUCCUGUUCCCGGGUCAGGCCGGGCGGGAUGACGGUGGGCAUUCCCGGGAUCACCGUCUUCUGUUCCAGGCUGUCCUGGUUCCAACGGCUCCGCUUCCGCUUCUUCGGGAACUCUGCCCUCCUGGCCGCCUUAUGGCCGGGCCUCACCCCCCCCACUCCUCCUCCGCCCCCUCCUCCCC
rnacentral:lncRNA from 1 species